GAGAGUUAUCACAACUCCCAAACCCCUGUGAACGUACCACGCGUUGCCUCGGUGGGCGUCAGCCUGCCGGUGGCCUACACGAACUCUGUUUAUCUUGAAUUCUGAACAAAUAACUAAAUCAGUUA
rnacentral:misc_RNA from 1 species